rnacentral:rRNA from 1 species
UACAGAGGGUGCGAGCGUUAAUCGGAAUUACUGGGCGUAAAGCGAGCGUAGUCGGUUGUCUAAGUCGGAUGUGAAAGCCCCGGGCUCAACCUGGGAAUUGCAUUCGAUACUGGGCAGCUAGAGUUCGGCAGAGGGAAGCGGAAUUUCCGGUGUAGCGGUGAAAUGCGUAGAUAUCGGAAGGAACAUCAGUGGCGAAAGCGGCUUCCUGGACCAGAACUGACGAUCAGGCUCGAAAGCGUGGGGAGCAAACAGG